rnacentral:rRNA from 1 species
GACGAACGCUGGCGGCGUGCCUAAUACAUGCAAGUCGAGCGCGGGAAGCAGACAGAAGCCUUCGGGCGGAUGUUUGUGGAACGAGCGGCGGAUGGGUGAGUAACACGUGGGUAACCUGCCUGUAAGCUCGGGAUAACUAACGGAAACGUUAGCUAAUACCGGAUGAAGCUGCAUACCGCAUGGUAUGUAGAUGAAAGACGGCAUUUGCUGU